GUGCCAGCAGCCGCGGUAAUCCCAGCGGGAAUAGCGUAUAUUAAAGUCGUUGUGGUUAAAAACCACGAAGGUGAACCUUGGGCCUGGCUGGCCGGUCCGCCUCACCGCGUGCACUGGUCCGGCCGGGCCUUUCCCUCUGUGGAACCCCAUACCCUUCACUGGGCGUGGCGGGGAAACAGGACAUUUACUUUGAAAAAAUUAGAGUGCUCCAGGCAGGCCUAUGCUCGAAUACAUUAGCAUGGAAUAAUAAAAUAGGACGCGCGGUUCUAUUUUGUUGGUUUAUAGGACCGCCGUAAUGAUUAAUAGGGACAGUCGGGGGCAUCAGUAUUCAACUGUCAGAGGUGAAAUUCUUGGAUCAGUUGAAGACUAACUACUGCGAAAGCAUUUGCCAAGGAUGUUUUCAUUAAUCAGGAACGAAAGUUAGGGGAUCGAAGACGAUCAGAUACCGUCGUAGUCUUAACCAUAAACUAUGCCGACUAGGGAUCGGGACGGGGUUAUUUCAUGACCCGGUCGGGCACCUUUACGAGAAAUCAAAGUGCUUUGGGCUCCAGGGGGGAGUAUGGGUCGGCAAGGCUGGAAAACUUAAAGAAAAUUGACGGAAAGGGGCACCACCCAGGGGGGGGGCCUGCGGCUUAAUUUUGAUUCACACGGGGAAACUUCACCCAGGUCCAGACACAAUAAGGAUUGGCGAGAUUGAGAGCCCUUUCUUGAAUUUGUGGGGGGGGUGCAAUGGGCCGUCUUUAGUUGGGGGGGGGGGACUUUGUCUGCCUAAAUUUCAGAAACGAACCAAGACCUUAUACCUGCCUAAAAAAGCCCCGCGAUCGGCUCCGCGCCAGGUGCGCUGGGGUUUUUUAAGAGGGGAACUUUUCGGGCUU
rnacentral:rRNA from 1 species